GGGCCGGGGAUGCAGCUCAGUGCGGAGGCCCCAGGUUCCAUCCCCAGUACCCACACGGGAAAAGGGGUCAUUCUCAUGCAUCUCUUGCCUCUGUCACUGAGUAGUAUCCCUUUCCCCUCCGCCUCACUGAUUCUCCUGCUGCUUUGCCUUCCCAGCUUCCUCUGCUGGCUGGAAUCCGCAGACAGGAGGAAAACCCACUGGUGGUAGAAUGGGCUAGGAGGUGGUUCUGAAAAAUAGUUUGCUUCCUGAUGAGUGACAGCUGAGCAAAUAGAACUCUGUGUCCUCAUCUCCUUUCCUUGUCUUGAGUGUAGUUCUAGGAAGAUGUGAUGCUUGGAGCCAUGACAGCCAUUUUGCGACCACAGGGCCAAAAGCCUGCAAAUUAAAAGUCAGUGUGUAGAUGUCACGGCAAGAAUGACACGAGAGACUCAAGUUCUUGAUGACAUGGUUGAGCUGUUGCAUUCAUCCGAACUUUCGGGAGAGCCUCCUGUCCUAGGGAGCUCGAGUCACGAGUCUGCGCAUGAAUCAGUCAGUCUAGAAGCACCCUUUAAGCUCUUCACUGAUGGUCGCUGAGUCUCCAUGGCUGCGAUGCGGUGGAGCUGUGACCGUCACCUGCUCGCUCACAGCCUGGGGCAGCAGCAGUGGCCUGAAGUGGGUUCAGAGCACAGCAGUGCCUCUCCAGGGUGUUCGGUCCUUCGGAUCGGGGAUUUGAGGCGGGCUUCUUAGAAGGAAGGAGGCUCCGAGGAACUUCCUGUUUGCAGUAACCACUGCUCCCUCCACUCCCGGGCAGCCUCAGCACCUCUGCACUUCCCGGUUUCUGGGAACGAAGGUGACCGUUCUGCUGGCAGUUUUGGGGGGGGG
rnacentral:lncRNA from 1 species